rnacentral:rRNA from 1 species
AUAGAACGCUGGCGGCAGGCCUAACACAUGCAAGUCGAGCGGAUGAGGGGUGCUUGCACUCUGAUUCAGCGGCGGACGGGUGAGUAAUGCCUAGGAAUCUGCCCGAUAGUGGGGGACAACGUUUCGAAAGGAACGCUAAUACCGCAUACGUCCUACGGGAGAAAGUGGGGGAUCUUCGGACCUCACGCUAUCGGAUGAGCCUAGGUCGGAUUAGCUAGUUGGUGAGGUAAUGGCUCACCAAGGCUACGAUCCGUAACUGGUCUGAGAGGAUGAUCAGUCACACUGGAACUGAGACACGGUCCAGACUCCUACGGGAGGCAGCAGUGGGGAAUAUUGGACAAUGGGCGAAAGCCUGAUCCAGCCAUGCCGCGUGUGUGAAGAAGGUCUUCGGAUUGUAAAGCACUUUAAGUUGGGAGGAAGGGCUGUAGGCUAAUAUCCUGCAGUUUUGACGUUACCAACAGAAUAAGCACCGGCUAACUUCGUGCCAGCCGCCGCCGUAAAAC